rnacentral:lncRNA from 1 species
GCCUUUUUCUUUUACAGUUUUUUACAGCCAUUUCUACAUCUUAUUGUAUUUUUUUUUUUUUAUGGAAACCGCUAGUAAAGUUACUGGGUAAUGAUUUUUUUUUUUAAAUAUCGAUUUAAGUUGAAAUGAUAGGACAUUUUUUUAGUAGGAACAGCAACUAGACGUCAUAGGUCAAACGUUGACGUCAUUCGAAUUGUGACGUC